rnacentral:rRNA from 1 species
UGGGGAAUUUUGGACAAUGGGCGCAAGCCUGAUCCAGCCAUGCCGCGUGCGGGAAGAAGGCCUUCGGGUUGUAAACCGCUUUUGUCAGGGAAGAAAUCUUCUGGGUUAAUACCUCGGGAGGAUGACGGUACCUGAAGAAUAAGCACCGGCUAACUACGUGCCAGCAGCCGCGGUAAUACGUAGGGUGCAAGCGUUAAUCGGAAUUACUGGGCGUAAAGCGUGCGCAGGCGGUUAUGCAAGACAGAUGUGAAAUCCCCGGGCUCAACCUGGGAACUGCAUUUGUGACUGCAUAGCUAGAGUACGGUAGAGGGGGAUGGAAUUCCGCGUGUAGCAGUGAAAUGCGUAGAUAUGCGGAGGAACACCGAUGGCGAAGGCAAUCCCCUGGACCUGUACUGACGCUCAUGCACGAAAGCGUGGGGAGCAAACAGGAUUAGAUACCCUGGUAGUCCACGCCCUAAACGAUGUCAACUGGUUGUUGGGUCUUCACUGACUCAGUAACGAAACUAACGCGUGAAGUUGACCGCCUGGGGAGUACGGCUGCAAGGUUG